rnacentral:piRNA from 1 species
UUGGCCUGUGUUCGAAUUCUGUCUCUGCCA